rnacentral:rRNA from 1 species
ACGGGUGAGUAAUGUCUGGGAAACUGCCUGAUGGAGGGGGAUAACUACUGGAAACGGUAGCUAAUACCGCAUGAUGUCUUCGGACCAAAGUGGGGGACCUUCGGGCCUCACGCCAUCAGAUGUGCCCAGAUGGGAUUAGCUAGUAGGUGGGGUAAUGGCUCACCUAGGCGACGAUCUCUAGCUGGUCUGAGAGGAUGACCAGCCACACUGGAACUGAGACACGGUCCAGACUCCUACGGGAGGCAGCAGUGGGGAAUAUUGCACAAUGGGCGCAAGCCUGAUGCAGCCAUGCCGCGUGUAUGAAGAAGGCCUUCGGGUUGUAAAGUACUUUCAGCGAGGAGGAAGGCAUUGUGGUUAAUAACCGCAGUGAUUGACGUUACUCGCAGAAGAAGCACCGGCUAACUCCGUGCCAGCAGCCGCGGUAAUACGGAGGGUGCAAGCGUUAAUCGGAAUUACUGGGCGUAAAGCGCACGCAGGCGGUUGAUUAAGUCAGAUGUGAAAUCCCCGAGCUUAACUUGGGAACUGCAUUUGAAACUGGUCAGCUAGAGUCUUGUAGAGGGGGGUAGAAUUCCAGGUGUAGC